CAGCAGCCGCGGUAAUACGUAUGUCACAAGCGUUAUCCGGAUUUAUUGGGCGUAAAGCGCGUCUAGGUGGUUAUGUAAGUCUGAUGUGAAAAUGCAGGGCUCAACUCUGUAUUGCGUUGGAAACUGUGUAACUAGAGUACUGGAGAGGUAAGCGGAACUACAAGUGUAGAGGUGAAAUUCGUAGAUAUUUGUAGGAAUGCCGAUGGGGAAGCCAGCUUACUGGACAGAUACUGACGCUGGAGCGCGAAAGCGUGGGUAGCAAACAGGAUUAGAUACCCCUGUAGUCCCUGUCUCUUAUACA
rnacentral:rRNA from 1 species